rnacentral:lncRNA from 1 species
UAAAGAAAGGAGAAGUAAAGAAAGAAAGAGAAAUAACUUGUAAAACAAAUUGAAAAUCAUAUAAGAAAGCAUAUACAUCUAAGGGGGAGCAAUUUGCAACAAUGAAAAUGAUCAAGUCAAAAAUUUAUAUCAAAUUUCAGAAUUUGGCACGCACCUCUCGCACCCCGAUACAUAACCUGAAACUCAUAUUUUAUCUCAAAUUUUUGAAGUUUCAUCGGUAAUGAAUUAUAAAUGAAAGGGAGAGCAAUUCAAAAAGUCAAAUUGGCAACAUUUAAAUGAUAUAGGGGGAGAUUUCACUCUUAUAUAUGAAAAGCUGAAAUUCAGCAAGUUAAACCCUUUCAAAAACUGAUUUCAAAGACAAAUAACAAUAGGUUCAUACUCUUUAUUUUGUAAUCAUCAAAAAGGGGGAGAUUGAGGAUGAUAGUGUUAUUUUGAUGAUUAACAAGCAAUUAUCUAGAGUAUGUAAUAAGUUAAAUCAAUACUUCAUUUAUAAGUCCAUUACUCUCAGUAUAUUUGUAUGAAUUGACAUAGAUAUAUUUCAUUGUUCAUUUGAAUGAAUCUAACUUUGAGAUGCAGCAAAGAGUGGAUUAAGUCGACCCAAAGAUUGAUUGGGUCGACCCCGGCACAUCAAGAAGUCAUUUGGCACACUUCUGCAAAAUUGGCACAGAUGAACAGUGAGUUGGGUCGACCCAAGGAAAGCAUGAGUCGACCCAAACACCAAGAUUCUUGAAACAAAACAGAAAAAUGGCUCUCUGGAUUUACUGAGAGGGUCGACCCAAACAGUGGUUGAGUCGACCCAAACCCUGAGAGGGUCGACCCAAAGG